rnacentral:lncRNA from 1 species
CCGCUGCAUGAUAGAUGUGCCUCGCUAGUUAGAGACCGCAAAGAGAUAAUAGAGAGUGGGUGGGAUUUAUCAAAGAGAGAUUGGGCCACAGUUUGUUUGCAAUCACUGAACUGAGCUAGUUUUGAGGUGGGGGUGGGUGCCUGUGACAUUAUCAUGUGAAAUGGUCUCCGAGGUCUGAACAGAGUCUUCCAGCACAUGAGUUGUUUAGCUAGUGCCGGCCAAAAUAUAUACUGAUCACCCGCCUGUAAAUCUUGACAGGCCUGCAGGGGAGGAGGUCACUGUCGCUGUACAAUGGAUCUUCUGUAAGCAUCUCUAAACUGAUUCUGAAUUGGC